GGACUGAUAGAGAGGGAAGUCACUCAUUGCUCUGAGGAUGGCACCAAGCCUUUCAAGAGGGAUCUGCUCCCACGACUGAAAUAUCUCCCAGCAGACCCCAACUCCAAAACUGGGGAUCACAUUUCAAUAUGAGAUUUGGAGGGACUAACAUAGAGACUAUAUCAGCCCCCAUUUAUCUGUAAUCCUUCUCUUUCUUUAAUAGAAGUUGGAGAGCUAAAAUUGUAGCCAUCUCAACAUCCUUUGCAACUAGGGAGAGUAAGACAGCACCAUUUCUACCCCAUGCGAUAUAUGUGCAGAUCUGCUUGGAGAGGGUCUCUUUUUUGAAUAAAAAGACAAAGCUACAAAAGAAGAAAAUGGCUCUGUUCUUUCUGCCUAGAUGUAGACAAGACCCCAGGAGCUGCAGCAGUCAUCUGCUCACACUGAAGUUCGUAGAACUAAAAGACGGAAGGAGCCUGGGAUGCUGAUGAAAUUGUGAAGCUACUGACACAAGCCCUGGACUGCCUAUCUCUGGACUCUACUGGAUGGGUCCACAUGGCAAGGAACCAAGGGUAGCCUCUGGCCAGCAACCAGAGAAGAUAAAGAUCUCCAACAACGUCUGCGUUUGGAAGAGGAUUGUUCUUCCGUAGAGUUUUCUGAUGAGGCCCCAGCCUUGGCAACAUCUUGACUGUCUCCUUGUAAAGGGACCUUGAGACAGAGGACUCAGCUCAGCCGUGCCAGACUCCUGACUCACAGAAACAGUGAGAUUAUAAAAACAAACUGUUUUAAGCCACUAAGUUUUGAGUAAUUUGUCACACAGUAGAUAAUAAACUUCCAUAGAAUCUUGAUAUUGAUCAUA
rnacentral:lncRNA from 10 species